rnacentral:rRNA from 1 species
UACGUAGGGCGCAAGCGUUGUCCGGAAUUAUUGGGCGUAAAGAGCUCGUAGGCGGUUCGGUAAGUCGGGUGUGAAACCUCCAGGCUCAACCUGGAGAGGCCACCUGAUACUGCUGUGACUCGAGUCCGGUAGGGGAGCGUGGAAUUCCUGGUGUAGCGGUGAAAUGCGCAGAUAUCAGGAGGAACACCAGCGGCGAAGGCGGCGCUCUGGGCCGGAACUGACGCUGAGGAGCGAAAGCGUGGGUAGCAAACAGG